GACUGCUCAUCCAAUCCAUAAAGUUAUAUUAACAGACUGGAGCUGUUUGCAGACAAAGUUCCAAAGACAGCAGAAAACUUUUGUGCUCUGAGCACUGGGGAGAAAGGCUUUGGUUAUAAAGGUUCCUGCUUUCACAGAAUAAUUCCAGGAUUUAUGUGCCAGGGUGGUGACUUCACACGCCAUAAUGGCACUGGUGGCAAGUCCAUCUAUGAGGAGAAAUUUGAUGAUGAGAAUUUCCUCCUGAAGCGUACGGGUCCUGGCAUCUUUUCCAUGGUAAAUGCUGACCCCAACACAAACGGUUCCCAGUUUUUCAUCUGCACUGCCAAGACUGAGUGGUUGGAUGGCAAGCCUGUGGUCUUUGGCAAGGUGAAAGAGGGCAUGAAUAUUGCUGAAGCCAUGGAGCGCUUUGGGUCCAGGAAUGGCAAGACCAGCAAGAAGACCACCAUUGCUGACUGUGGACAAAUCUAAUAAUAAAUUUGACUUGUGUUUUAUCUUUAAAAAAAAAAA